UGUAUCAAGACAGACUCGAUUUACUUUCCCUGCUGUGUGCAGAAAUAGACAUGCUUUGUUGAGUCAGCUUAGAUGGAUUUAUCCAGAAAUUUGCAAUCAGAAAAUCCAGAAAGAAGCUAUUUUAAUUUCAGCAGAAAUGAACGCUUUGUGUUAUUGCGAACAACUACUUUUAAAUUUACAGUUUAGUAUUGUUGUUACUUUGAAUCACAUACAGGGACAGUCACUCCAAGUGCCCCUAUUUUCCAGAGACAGUCCUGGAUUUAUAGAAGCUGUCCUGGUCUCUGAUUUGAUGCUGGAACGUGCCACUUUCCUUUGGAUGUCCCUAUUUUCAUCGGAGAAAUGUUGGAGGGUAUGGUAAAAUGUCCCUAUUUAUAAUAAUAAUAAUAAUAAUAAUAAUAAUAAUAAUAAUAAUAAUACAGUAGUACCUUGGUUGUCAAACAGCAUAGCUGUCAACUUUCAGAUUUGAAAAUAAGGGAUCAGCAGCCUCUCCUGUCCCAGGGACAGUCUACGGGAUAUCUAACAAUCCGGGAUAGCAGGGGGAAGCAGCGGGAAAUGGUGCUGGAAUAAGGGAAUUUCCCACACACAAAAAGGGAAGGUUGACAGCUAUGUAAAACAGACUCCCGGAACGGUUCUAAAACCAAGGUGUGACUUCCGAUUGGCUGCAGGAGCUUCCUGCGCUCAAUUGGAAGCCGUGGAAGCUGUGUCAGACGUUUGGCUUCCGAAAGACAUUUGCAAACUGGAACACUCACUUCCGAGUUUGCGGCAUUCGGGAGCCAAUUUGUUCAGGAGCCAAGCUGUUUGACAACUAAGGUACCACUGUAAUGGAAAAAGCCACCCCUAUUUUUAUCAGAAAAAUGUUGACGGAAUCCGGGGGGCAUAAUCAUUUCAGUGCUUAGGACCCCUAAAUGUCUUAAUUUGGCCCUGCUGAUGCCCUCCAGUUGUUUCAGACUAUAAGUCCCAUCAUUCCUGACAACUGGCCAUGCUGGCUGGAACUGAUGGGAGUUACAGUCCAAAGCAUUUGGAGGGCAGCCAAGGAAGGCUGAUGUGGAUUGUAAAUCCUAUGAGAAACUGCCCUGCCAUAUUUUGUAGAGCACUUAUUUACAGAACUGCCACCAUGGUUCAGUAUACACUAGAUAGGCAUUCGGCAGGAUGACCAGCUCCAAACAGACUUCAUAUCCCCAAGAAUCAUGUUUGGUAAAGAUGGAUCUGGACUGAGACUUAUGAAAAAUGAAGUGGAACUUGGUGAAUAUAGGGAAGAUUCAGUUAGCAGGGUGAGCAUCCUCACGCCUUGCUACAAGAGGUUUUUGAACAACAGGUAUGGCGUUUUAGACAUCCAGUGUACCAACUAAGGUCAAACCUCUAGGUAGAUAGUCUAGUUCGUCUGAAGUAUUUCCAGAACAGCUGGGGGAGUGUUUACUGAUCUAUUUUUUAUUUUAUUUUUUGUAUUCGGUUAGCAGUAACAUGUAGAAGGCCUGAGAAACUCUGAAAUUUGUCUCUGAUUGGCUCUGGUUCCAGACUUCCAGUUUCCUGAGAGUUCCUGAAGGAGCGUCUCCACCCCCAUCGUUCUGCCCGGAUGCUGAGGUCCAGCGCCAAGGGCCUUCUGGCGGUUCCCUCAUUGUGAGAAGCAAAGCUACAGUGAACCAAGCAGAGCGCCUUCUCGGUAGUGGCACCCACCCUGUGGAAUGCCCUCCCAUCAGAUGUCAAAGCGAUAAACAACUACCUGACAUUCAGAAGACAUCUUAAGGCAGCCCUGUUCAGGGAAAUUUUUAAUGUGUGAUAUUUUAGUGUAUUUUUGGUCUCUGUGGAAGCCACCCAGAGUGGCUGGGGAAACCCAGCCAGAUGGGCGGGG